rnacentral:misc_RNA from 1 species
GAAAUGCGAUAAGUAGUGUGAAUUGCAGAAUUCAGUGAAUCAUCGAAUCUUUGAACGCACAUUGCGCCCGCCAGUAUUCUGGCGGGCAUGCCUGUCCGUGCGUCAUUUCAACCAUCAAGCCCCCGGGCUUGUGUUGGGGACCUGCGGCUGCCCGCAGGCCCUGAAAACCAGUGGCGGGCUCGCUGUCACACCGAGCGUAGUAGCAAUCACCUCGCUCAGGGCGUGCUGCGGGUUCCGGCCGUUAAACAGCCUUACAAAACCCAAGGUUGACCUCGGAUCAGGUAGGAAGACCCGCUGAACUUAAGC